CAAGGCUUUCCCUAGUUUUCUAGUCCAUACUUCUGGCUGUCUUUUAGAAACCCAGAGCAGACUGGCAAGUGACCAAAUCCACAGCAGUUCCAGCUCUUUCUGAGGAUGUCCCAUAGGAUAGGCAUGAUGCCUGGCCUACAUAGUGGGUAUCAGAUGUUAACUGCCUUUGACUCCUUACCACUUGUUGAUGUCUCUGUGUCACACAGUUGCUCAAGCUCCUUGAAGAUCUCCAGGCUGGUGACAUUAUUCCCCUCGGCUUUAAUUCCCUCACUGUGCAGCGCUCGAGCGGCGAUUUCAGAGCUAGGGUUGGUUUUCCAGUUUUUAAAUGAGUACGCUUCAAACACAGAGCUCAGAACUAGAUCCUUUAUCGCGCCCACUUGUGUCUGCAGAGCUCAGCAGGGUGUGGGCAUAUAGUCAGGUUUCUUCACCUGUGCGGUCACGUGCGGAUCGCACAGCUACUUUAUAGCGAUGCAGAUAAGCCCUGUUAACGCAAUAUAUACUCGAAAACCAAACCCUGCUUAAGGUGUCACAGAAAGAGACGCUGGUAUCUUUAAAAUGUCCUAUCAGAGGGAAUUUUCUGAUUAAGUAACUGAGGUCUUCAGGAAUUGGAUCCAGGGUGAAGUCCCCCUGUCAAAACUGGUUUUUGAAACACUGCUGAACCUGUAAAGCCGUAUAUGAAAGCGAAGUUUAUUACCGAGUUAUGUGGCGGAUACUCAGUGUGUCUGCUGUGAGGCAUUUGAUAUUCUAUGUAUACACAUGAGCAAACACAUAUGUAAAAGACUUCAAAUUGAAACCGUAGCUGAAGUUUACAACACCCUAAAAAUACCCCAUAUAAAAACUGUAGCAGAUCGCCCUCUUUCCUACUUCCUCAAUUCUAAAGGUUCCCUCUGUCCAGAUUCAUGGCUUGCUUUGAUCCCUUCUUUCGUGGAGAACCUUUAGAGUUCAAUAGACCCACUAGGUACAGAGGGGUAGAGGCAGAGAUGGAAAGCUCACCAGAUCAUGUGGGGACUUCCAAACCAAGGAGGACACAUUUCUGGAUGUCUCCAAAUUGAGUAGACAACAAAAUUGUUUGGCUCUUUCUGUGGAUGUUGAAAAUUGUUUUUCCAGAAUUUCUCCAUCGUAAUUUUUGCAUGCUGUAUGCCAUAAUUUGGAAAGGCUAUUACCGUGAUAAUCUUUCCUUGUCCACCAAAAACGUAUACUCUGCCUCUUAAGACGGCGAAUGGACUAGCUUUACUCGUUUCAUGAGAAAAUAGCCUAUCACCUUCCUAACUACUACACUGUGGGUAAAGCGCAGUGGACUCAAAAACCAAAAAAUCUUGUUCCAAUCUUGGUUCUGCUACUUCCUGAGCUAUGUAACCUUGGACUAGUUGCCUGCUUCAGCUUCCUCCCAGAGGUUUCAAAAAACAGGCUUUAGGAUUCCUUGUUUCCCUCUAGGGCUCCUCUCUCUCAUUUCCCCUUUGGGUACUGAGUGGAGAACAUGA